rnacentral:rRNA from 1 species
GCUUGCUACAUGUACCUAGCGGCGGACGGGUGAGUAAUGCUUAGGAAUCUGCCUAUUAGUGGGGGACAACAUUCCGAAAGGAAUGCUAAUACCGCAACGUCCUACGGGAGAAAGCAGGGGAUCUUCGGACCUUGCGCUAAUAGAUGAGCCUAAGUCGGAUUAGCUAGUUGGUGGGGUAAAGGCCUACCAAGGCAACGAUCUGUAGCGGGUCUGAGAGGAUGAUCCGCCACACUGGGACUGAGACACGGCCCAGACUCCUACGGGAGGCAGCAGUGGGGAAUAUUGGACAAUGGGCGGAAGCCUGAUCCAGCCAUGCCGCGUGUGUGAAGAAGGCCUUUUGGUUGUAAAGCACUUUAAGCGAGGAGGAGGCUACUCUAGUUAAUACCUAGAGAUAGUGGACGUUACUCGCAGAAUAAGCACCGGCUAACUCUGUGCCAGCAGCCGCGGUAAUACAGAGGGUGCGAGCGUUAAUCGGAUUUACUGGGCGUAAAGCGUGCGUAGGCGGCUGAUUAAGUCGGAUGUGAAAUCCCUGAGCUUAACUUAGGAAUUGCAUUCGAUACUGGUCAGCUAGAGUAUGGGAGAGGAUGGUAGAAUUCCAGGUGUAGCGGUGAAAUGCGUAGAGAUCUGGAGGAAUACCGAUGGCGAAGGCAGCCAUCUGGCCUAAUACUGACGCUGAGGUACGAAAGCAUGGGGAGCAAACAGGAUUAGAUACCCUGGUAGUCCAUGCCGUAAACGAUGUCUACUAGCCGUUGGGGCCUUUGAGGCUUUAGUGGCGCAGCUAACGCGAUAAGUAGACCGCCUGGGGGAGUACGGUCGCAAGACUAAAACUCAAAUGAAUUGACGGGGGCCCGCACAAGCGGUGGAGCAUGUGGUUUAAUUCGAUGCAACGCGAAGAACCUUACCUGGUCUUGACAUAGUAAGAACUUUC